UACGGAGGGGACUAGCGUUGUUCGGAAUUACUGGGCGUAAAGCGCACGUAGGCGGAUUUGUAAGUCAGGGGUGAAAUCCCGGGGCUCAACCUCGGAACUGCCUUUGAUACUGCAAAUCUCGAGUCCGGAAGAGGUGAGUGGAAUUCCUAGUGUAGAGGUGAAAUGCGCAGAUAUCGGGAGGAACACCAAUGGCGAAGGCAGCUCGCUGGGACGGUACUGACGCUGAGGCGCGAAAGCGUGGGGAGCAAACAGG
rnacentral:rRNA from 1 species